rnacentral:hammerhead_ribozyme from 1 species
GUCUAGCUGAUGAGUCUUAAAUAAGACGAAACUCGCGUCCUAGAU